rnacentral:ncRNA from 2 species
AAUAUGGUUAACUUGUAAGGUCCGGGUUUGGAAGAUUUCUUCGAUGCCCGGUUAAAAGGGAAGCCGGUGAGAAUCCGGCACGGUCCCGCCACUGUGAAACAGGGAUAUUCUCUUCGUGCCACUGUUCUGCGGCAAGCAGGAUGGGAAGGCGAGAAUAUCAGCGAACCUGUGAGUCAGGAAACCUGCCUUACGAGCCGUACGACG